GAUGAACGCUGGCGGCGUGCCUAACACAUGCAAGUCGAGCGAUUUUCUUCGGAGAAGAGCGGCGGACGGGUGAGUAACGCGUGGGUAACCUGCCCUGUACACACGGAUAACAUACCGAAAGGUAUGCUAAUACGAGAUAACAUACUUUUAUCGCAUGGUAGAAGUAUCAAAGCUUUUGCGGUACAGGAUGGACCCGCGUCUGAUUAGCUAGUUGGUAAGGUAACGGCUUACCAAGGCGACGAUCAGUAGCCGACCUGAGAGGGUGAUCGGCCACAUUGGAACUGAGACACGGUCCAAACUCCUACGGGAGGCAGCAGUGGGGAAUAUUGCACAAUGGGCGAAAGCCUGAUGCAGCAACGCCGCGUGAGCGAUGAAGGCCUUCGGGUCGUAAAGCUCUGUCCUCAAGGAAGAUAA
rnacentral:rRNA from 1 species